rnacentral:rRNA from 1 species
GACGAACGCUGGCGGCGUGCUUAACACAUGCAAGUCGAACGGAAAGGCCUCUUUCGGGGGGUACUCGAGUGGCGAACGGGUGAGUAACACGUGAGUAACCUGCCCUUGACUUUGGGAUAACUUCAGGAAACUGGGGCUAAUACCGGAUAGGAGCUCCUGCUGCAUGGUGGGGGUUGGAAAGUUUCGGCGGUUGGGGAUGGACUCGCGGCUUAUCAGCUUGUUGGUGGGGUAGUGGCUUACCAAGGCUUUGACGGGUAGCCGGCCUGAGAGGGUGACCGGCCACAUUGGGACUGAGAUACGGCCCAGACUCCUACGGGAGGCAGCAGUGGGGAAUAUUGCACAAGGGGUGGAAGCCUGAUGCAGCAACGCCGUGUGCGGGAUGACGGCCUUCGGGUUGUAAACCGCUUUCGCUCAUGACGAAGCUUUGUGUGACGUUAGUGGGUAAAGAAGCACCGGCUAACUACGUG